rnacentral:rRNA from 1 species
GAUGAACGCUGGCGGCGUGCUUAACACAUGCAAGUCGAACGAUGAAGCCCAGCUUGCUGGGUGGAUUAGUGGCGAACGGGUGAGUAACACGUGAGUAACCUGCCCUUAACUCUGGGAUAAGCCUGGGAAACUGGGUCUAAUACCGGAUAGGAGCGUCCACCGCAUGGUGGGUGUUGGAAAGAUUUAUCGGUUUUGGAUGGACUCGCGGCCUAUCAGCUUGUUGGUGAGGUAAUGGCUCACCAAGGCGACGACGGGUAGCCGGCCUGAGAGGGUGACCGGCCGCACUGGGACUGCGACACGGCCCAGACUCCUACGGGAGGCAGCAGUGGGGAAUAUUGCACAAUGGGCGCAAGCCUGAUGCAGCGACGCCGCGUGAGGGAUGACGGCCUUCGGGUUGUAAACCUCUUUCAGUAGGGAAGAAGCGAAAGUGACGGUACCUGCAGAAGAAGCACCGGCUAACUACGUG